UACGGGGGGAGCAAGCGUUGUUCGGAUUUACUGGGCGUAAAGGGCGCGUAGGCGGCCACCGCAAGUCGGUUGUGAAAUCUCCGGGCUUAACCCGGAAAGGUCAACCGAUACUGCGGGGCUAGAGUGCAGAAGGGGCAACUGGAAUUCUCGGUGUAGCGGUGAAAUGCGUAGAUAUCGAGAGGAACACCUGCGGCGAAGGCGGGUUGCUGGGCUGACACUGACGCUGAGGCGCGAAAGCUAGGGUAGCAAACGGG
rnacentral:rRNA from 1 species